rnacentral:lncRNA from 1 species
CGCGGCUCGGCCGACAGACAAAGCGGCCCGCUGAGUCCGUGAACAGGCACAAAACGAAAGUCGGCCUCGGGGCCGGGAGGGAAGGCAGCGGAGGCGCCGCGGGCUCUGUCCCCACGCGCACCGACCCCCUUCUCCCGACGCCCUGCAAGCGGACGCCGCGCAGAACAAGGCCAGCUCCGUGCAGCGCGCGGCGGUGGCGCGGCCACCCUGCUCCCAGAGCCCAGUGGCAGCGGCGGGAAGGGCGCCCGCGGAGAGGCUCACAAGCCCGGGGCCCAGCGCCCCGCCGGGGACUAGCGCGGUCCGCGCGCGGAGGAGCACGGCGCCGGCGCGGAGGGAAACGCCGGUGUAGUGCGGCCAGCCCUGCACUUAUAAGCCCGCGGCUCCGGGAGCUGCAGCCGUAGACCGAGCGCGGGGUGCUUAUUGGUCAGCCUCCUGCCUUCUGUGAGCCUCGGGAUCAGACAUUUGCACUCCAGUGCCCCGGCGGCCGC